GACGAACGCUGGCGGGGGGAGGAACACAUGCAAGUCGAACGGAAAGGCCCUGCUUUUGUGGGGUGCUCGAGUGGCGAACGGGUGAGUAACACGUGAGUAACCUGCCCUUGACUUUGGGAUAACUUCAGGAAACUGGGGCUAAUACCGGAUAGGAGCUCCUGCUGCAUGGUGGGGGUUGGAAAGUUUCGGCGGUUGGGGAUGGACUCGCGGCUUAUCAGCUUGUUGGUGGGGUAGUGGCUUACCAAGGCUUUGACGGGUAGCCGGCCUGAGAGGGUGACCGGCCACAUUGGGACUGAGAUACGGCCCAGACUCCUACGGGAGGCAGCAGUGGGGAAUAUUGCACAAUGGGCGGAAGCCUGAUGCAGCAACGCCGCGUGCGGGAUGACGGCCUUCGGGUUGUAAACCGCUUUCGCCUGUGACGAAGCGUGAGUGACGGUAAUGGGUAAAGAAGCACCGGCUCACUACGUC
rnacentral:rRNA from 1 species